rnacentral:rRNA from 1 species
GGCGAACGGGUGAGGAACACGUGAGGAAUCUGCCUUCCACUCUGGGAUAACUCCGGGAAACCGGGGCUAAUACCGGAUACUUUCAACUGGCGGCAUCGCCGGUUGAAGAAAGUUUUUCGGUGGAAGAUGACCUCGCGGCCUAUCAGCUUGUUGGUGAGGUAAUGGCUCACCAAGGCGACGACGGGUAGCCGGCCUGAGAGGGCGACCGGCCACACUGGGACUGAGACACGGCCCAGACUCCUACGGGAGGCAGCAGUGGGGAAUAUUGGGCAAUGGAGGAAACUCUGACCCAGCGACGCCGCGUGAGGGAUGAAGGCCUUCGGGUUGUAAACCUCUUUCAGCAGGGAAUAAGCGAAAGUGAAGGUACCUGCAGAAGAAGCACCGGCUAACUAUGUGCCAGCAGCCGCGGUAAUACAUAGGGUGCAAGCGUUGUCCGGAAUUAUUGGGCGUAAAGAGCUCGUAGGUGGUCGAUCACGUCGGAUGUGAAAAUCUGAGGCUUAACCUCAGACCUGCAUUCGAUACGGGUUGACUAGAGUGUGGUAGGGGAGACUGGAAUUCCUGGUGUAGCGGUGGAAUGCGCAGAUAUCAGGAGGAACACCGAUGGCGAAGGCAGGUCUCUGGGCCAUUACUGACACUGAGGAGCGAAAGCGUGGGGAGCGAACAGGAUU